UUCGCAGAAACACGCAAAGAGCCGAGCAACAGCACACAGGGACCAAGUUCUCACACUUUCCGCUAAUGCAUCCACGGAGUUAAUUUAAAAAAGAAGCUACAAGUAUACCCGUACAUACGCACGUAUGCGCCGUGCAGCCGUAGGCGCCCGACGCGCCGAGCAGAAAUUCGCCAUUAUCCGCGUCUCCUCCUAUCGUCCGCGGGAAAUGACUCCCGCAACAGCAGCCCUGCGAACGGAAACCUUUAUCGGGAGCUCGGAUCGCCGCCGAGUUCCGGGCCCGAUUGGAAAAGUUUCGACGAUGCCUGCAUAGCUGAUCGACGCGAGCGCGCGAGAGGAAAAGGCGCUUGUGCAUCGAUAGAGGAGAGAAGCGAGGUUAGAGGCGCCACCACCGCAUCGCCGCCGAUGAUGCGUCCGACGCCGCCGCCGCGAUGCUGUCGAGCCUUUGAUCGAGUUAGCGUUCGCGAUUCACAUAAGUAAGCUGCUGAGACGAAUAUUUUCUCGCGAGAAUCGUGUGCAGAGGGGACGACGCGAUAGCUCGACUCUAUUUCAGUAAACGCAAAAUCUUACCUGAUGGCCGCCAUUGUUGCUGACCGCGGGGACGAACGCCGAAACGACCGUUGAUGAUCAUCCAGAUCUCCAGGGCUCCAGCCAGUCAUCCUCGCACUCGAUGAAAGGUAAGCUACUGACAAACUCUUUGACUAACACAACAGCGAGCGCUGAGUUCAAGAAAAACACGAACUCGACACCGCGUCCCCGACGUUCCCGCAUCGACGCGGCG